rnacentral:rRNA from 1 species
AUUGAACGCUGGCGGCAUGCCUUACACAUGCAAGUCGAACGGUAACGGGUCCUUCGGGAUGCCGACGAGUGGCGAACGGGUGAGUAAUAUAUCGGAACGUGCCCAGUAGUGGGGGAUAACUGCUCGAAAGAGCAGCUAAUACCGCAUACGACCUGAGGGUGAAAGGGGGGGAUCGCAAGACCUCUCGCUAUUGGAGCGGCCGAUAUCAGAUUAGCUAGUUGGUGGGGUAAAGGCCUACCAAGGCAACGACCUGUAGUUGGUCUGAGAGGACGACCAGCCAAACUGGGACUGAGAAACGGCCCAGACUCCUACGGGAGGCAGCAGUAGGGAAUUUUCGGCAAUGGGCGCAAGCCUGACCGAGCAACGCCGCGUGAGUGAUUAAGGCCUUCGGGUUGUAAAGCUCUGUUGUAAGGGAAGAACAUUCAGGAUAGGAAAUGAUCUUGAACUGACGGUACCUUACCAGAAAGCCACGGCUAACUACGUGCCAGCCGCCGCUGUAA